rnacentral:rRNA from 1 species
AUACGUAGGGUGCAAGCGUUAAUCGGAAUUACUGGGCGUAAAGCGUGCGCAGGCGGUUUUGUAAGACAGUGGUGAAAUCCCCGGGCUCAAACUGGGAACUGCCCUUGUGACUGCAAGGCUGGAGUGCGGCAGAGGGGGAUGGAAUUCCGCGUGUAGCAGUGAAAUGCGUAGAUAUGCGGAGGAACACCGAUGGCGAAGGCAAUCCCCUGGGCCUGCACUGACGCUCAUGCACGAAAGCGUGGGGAGCAAACAGGAUUAGAUUCCCUGGUAGUCCACGCCCUAAACGAUGUCAACUGGUUGUUGGGGAUUUAUUUUCUCAGUAACGAAGCUAACGCGUGAAGUUGACCGCCUGGGGAGUACGGCCGCAAGGUUAAAACUUAAAGGAAUUGACGGGG